UGCAACAAGGUUGCCCCGUGGAGU
rnacentral:piRNA from 1 species